rnacentral:sRNA from 1 species
CGACGCGCAACAAAGGAGGCAAGGAUAAAUGGACCACCGUUUUACCAUCGACUUCAGCGGCGCUUAAGUCAGUAGUCUUCCUGCACAGCAGGCAGUGCUUGUCAUAUGGCGACAUAAGGAUGCAGAUCCGUCCAACCUGGAAUGGGGACACACUCAAAAAGACGCCGAUGAUUGACUGAGUAUCGAGCUGUCUUGAGAUAUGUCCAUGCAUCCCGUCUGUAGGACAUGAUAUCUUUAGUCAACUGCUCCUCGGGAUGACGGCGGCUACCCUCUAUUAUGUUCCCCUUUUUCUCCCAGCAAGGCGGCUGAAUGUUCAUAUAUGAUAUUGCAGCAACCCCGUCCAUGCCAAGACUGCUUUGCCUGCUCAUAACAGCCUAUACAGAUUCGCCCAAGGCGUAGCAUCAAAUACCGCAUCAUACCUCCUUUUCAUCAUCCCGCUCACUAAGCCGGUAUCUCUGGUGACCCUUGCCAGUCCAAUUGAGACAACGCCUAGCAAGACCAUUAUUAACCCUCUCAGGCCCAGUUUGCGUGGCUUGGGAAUGACACGCGGUGCAGGAUCGGAAUCACACUCUUUUUUAUCGUCCGGAUAUACCUUCCACUUGGUCGAGAGGACGUUGGAAGGGUCCCCUUUAGCAGGACGACGCCGCAAAUUCUUUAACCAGGUCGCUACCUUCAUCCCCCCCACAAGCGCAUGCCAGACUCCCGCACCUACUAACCCAAGAUACGCUAUCCAAGCCCCCCAGUUCUGAAGGUUAUAGCCAACAAACUCCCAACCCAGUUCGCUUGGGGAUAAUUCCCUUAUAGGAGGUGCGGGGGAGGAAGGGAUAAGUCGGUGUGUUAUAAUGUGUGGGAUGAGAAGAAAGACGAGGGGAUAGGCAAGAAUUUGAUGGGGGAGAGUAGGGAAGCGGAUGGAUUUGGAGAGAGAGGUAGACGUGGAGAGGAGAAGACGACGACUGAGGGAGGAAAGAAGAUGAAUCGUAAGAGGAAUAUACACGACUAUAGGCUCUAAGGGGAGAUAUAAAUCUCGAGCGAUCAUCUAAGCACAACAAUUUCAUAAGCACAAUGGUAUCAGUUGCUACUGUAGCUAAGUCAUACCAUAGUCUUCUCAGCACCAUCCAAUCCUGCAAAAGCAGCGACCACUGGACUGGCCAAAUGAGGAACAAGAAAGAUCGUGAAGGCCAUUGCCGAGGUGUUUUGGGUGAGUGUGAGAGCACGAAGGAGCUGGCCCCUGGUAGGGAGGCGGAGGAAUGUGCCCCCAUCCUUCGAAGACGGUUUGCCGGCCAUUAGUUAUUAUAGGGAAUUGGUUUAUGGGAUGUGCGACUGGAAAAAGAUGAUACUCUGUAGACUGUAAACAGAUGUGAUUUGAGGAUGCAGUGAUUGGUUCGAGGCCCGGUCAGGGCCGAAAGUCAGGUACGCCUAUAGAUAAGAUCAACCGACCAGAACAAGAGUCGCUGCCAUCGUGCUCAAGCAUUCUGCAUUCGCUUUUCGUCUCAAAAGAAAACAUGCACUCUUCACCGCUACCGUAAACUCAAACCUCAUUUCUAGUUUUGCAUCUUGUAGAAUCUGGAAAAGAAGAGGUUGAAGACGGACCGGACCACGUACCUGGCCGCUCUGCUAUUGACGGAGCGCGUCAUCCUGGUCGAGGUCUGCGCCCUCCAAACUCUCUGAGAGGGUCACAGUUCGUCCUUCCUUUCUUCCUACCUGCAUUCAAAGCCCUAAUAAUGUCAUGCGCAGCUAACCAAUAUUUCUGAAUCGGAGCUGAGUGGGUCCAUAACAUAUCCAAAUAGUGAAGGGUGAUGAAUGCAUUGGACCAAUGAGUAAU